CAAAAGCUUGGUCCUGACUUUAAUAUCAUCUUUGAUUAAAAUUAUACAUGCAAGUAUCUGCACUCCCGUGAAAAUGCCCUAACAUACCCCCUAAUCACGGGAAAAAAGGAGUAGGUAUCAGGCACGAUCCAAAAUCAGCCUAAAACACCUUGCCCAGCCACACCCCCAAGGGAAUUCAGCAGUAAUAAACAUUAAGCAAUAAGUGAAAACUUGACUUAGCUAUAAAUCAAGGAGGGCCGGUUAACCUCGUGCCAGCCACCGCGGUUAUACGAGAGACCCAAGUUGAAAUCAUAACGGUGUAAAAAGUGGUUAAAAUAUAAACUUAAAUUAAAGCUAAACAUCUUCUAUGCUGUUAUAUGCUUAUGAAGACAGGAAAUACCUUUUACAAAAGUAGCUUUAAAACAUAAUUACUCCACGAAAGCUAAGACACAAACUGGGAUUAGAUACCCCACUAUGCUUAGCCCUAAACCUAAGUGUCUCAUAACCUUCACCAUUACUUACCAGGGAACUACGAGCCCCAGCUUAAAACCCAAAGGACUUGGCGGUGCUUAAGACCCCCCUAGAGGAGCCUGUUCUAUAAUCGAUAACCCCCGUUAAACCUCACCCUUACUUGCAUUAAAACAGCCUAUAUACCGCCGUCGUCAGCUUACCCUGUGAAGGAACUACAGUAAACAUAAUUGGUAAAAACCCAAAACGUCAGGUCAAGGUGUAGCAUAUGCAAAGGGAAGAAAUGGGCUACAUUUACUGACAACAGUAAAUUACGGAUAAUACUUUGAAAUAAGUAACUGAAGGAGGAUUUAGCAGUAAGAAAAAAAAAUAGAGAGUUUUUCUGAAACUGGCCCUAAAGCGCGCACACACCGCCCGUCACUCUCCCCAAACUUAAACAACAUAAUAUAUAUAAAAAAAAGAUAUCAUAAACAAAGGGGAGGCAAGUCGUAACAUGGUAAGUGUACUGGAAAGUGCACUUGGAAAAA
rnacentral:ncRNA from 1 species